ACACCGUUGGUGAAGUGGUUAUCAUGCUUGCCUUCCAUCGACUGAUCGACUCCUUUAUUUAAGCAAGCGGCACGGGUUUGAUUCCCAAACGGUGUA